ACUUCGGUGAAGAGUGGCGAACGGGUGAGUAAUACAUAAGUAACCUGGCAUCUACAGGGGGAUAACUGAUGGAAACGUCAGCUAAGACCGCAUAGGUGUAGAGAUCGCAUGAACUCUAUAUGAAAAGUGCUACGGGACUGGUAGAUGAUGGACUUAUGGCGCAUUAGCUUGUUGGUAGGGUAACGGCCUACCAAGGCGACGAUGCGUAGCCGACCUGAGAGGGUGACCGGCCACACUGGGACUGAGACACGGCCCAGACUCC
rnacentral:rRNA from 1 species